rnacentral:misc_RNA from 1 species
CCGUACUGGGCGGUCUACUGUAGAUCAUUUGGUUCGAUUGGACUCCCAUGUUAGAGACGGCUUUCUUCACCAUUCGAGCACCUUGGCGGUAUUCCUCGACAUUAAGUCUGCUUACAAUCUGGUAUCACCUACUCUUCUCCUACACCAAAUGCACCGCACCGGCUUCCGGGGCCACAUGAUGCACUUUAUUCGUGGCUUUCUGAGCAACAGAACUUUUCAGGUGAGGUGUGGUGUCUUGUCUGAUGUAUUUACUCAGGAGCAUGGCAUAGUGCAAGGUGGGGUCAUCUCGCCGAUACUUUUCAACCUGGCAAUUGAUUCCUUGAUGGAUGACAUUCCUCAGGGUAUAUAUUAUGCUGUAUACGCCGACGACGUGACCAUCUGGACGCAGGGUAGACGUAUCCCAACAUUGUUCCACAAAAUACAGAGAGCACUGGAUCGGAUUGGAAACUGGGCUUCCACACACGGAUUCACAUUUUCACCUACCAAGUCGAAAGCUAUAUUGUUUCGACGUAGCCUUAAACGUCUUAACCCGGAAGUUCUUCCUGACCUACACAUUGGAGGCGAUGCUAUCUCCCUGGUCGAUCAGGUGAAAUACUUGGGAGUUAUCCUGGACUCAAAGCUGAACUUGCAUGCCCACGUGGAAUAUACGAAAGGCAGAGCUCAGCAGCGUAUUUCCGUGUUGAAAUGUGUUGCCGGAAAAAGUUACGGUGCGGACCGCAUAGUCCUACUGCGCAUGUACAAGGCUAUUAUACGACCUAUAUUGGAGUAUGCAUCAUGUGUUAUUGACGGACCUGGAAACAAAAGAAUAGAGUCAUUAGAAACCAUACAAAAUGCAUGUUUGAGAAUCGCAUCAGGGGCCAUCCGAACGUCUCCAGUACGAGCCUUGCAGGUGGAUACGAACGUGCACCCACUUUCUGUCAGAAGGAAAGAACUUCUGGUCAGGUAUUUCCUGAAAGUACAGGGUGACCAGAAGCACCCCUGCUACGACCUAAUGGACCUGCAAGACAUUACUGACCCAUACCAUGGCUUGUCGGAAAGUUAUAUGCACAGAAUAUCAGGAUUCCCAAUACUUUAUAGAGUUAGGAAAGUGCUGAAUGAAUUGCGUUUCAGACCCCCUCCGGUGACUAAACCCACGAAGUCGACAGCCCCAUGGACAAGACAUCCGGUCAAAACGCACAUGCUUUUGACCCAAGACAAGCGACAAAUGACUUUGACUGACAUCCAGAUGGCCUUCAACGACCUGGUGGAGGACCACCCGGGUUAUCGCAUCCUAUUUACUGAUGGGUCCAAAAUAGGAGAUUCCGCUACCUGUGCUUUCACGAUAAAUAAUGCCUUUUUCUCGUUUAAGCUCCAGGACGGUUUGUCCAUAUUUACUGCGGAAUUGGUGGCUAUAAGAGAAGCGAUCGGGUAUGUUCGCGCAAAAAGCAUUCCAAAAGCCCUUAUUUGUACGGACUCUUUGUCCGCUAUCAGGGCCUUGAAAAAUAAAAAUGACGAUCAUCCGAUUCUGGAAGCUAUUCUAGAACUAAACCACACCAAUGUAUGUGCUGGCUUAGAAUGUACCCUAGUCUGGAUACCAGGUCACAGCGGUAUUGGUGGCAAUGUGAAGGCCGAUUACUGGGCCAAAAAGGCACAUGAUAAACCAAACGUGACAAGGGUCGCGGUAGGACCGCGGGAAUACAUACCUAUGGUGAAAGACCGCGUAAGGGAACUCUUUUCGAGGCUGUGGCAAGAUUACCGCAACACCCAAUUGAAGGUCAUCAAACCGAACAUUGGUUUCUGGUCAUCAUGUGUACGUGAAAACCGCAAGGAAGAGGUUGUACUUUGCCGGCUCAGGAUAGGGCAUACUGUACUUACUCACUCACACAUCAUUGACCAUGAUCCAGCGCCUGUGUGUGGGGUGUGUCGUUGCCAACAAGACGUGGGACACAUUCUCCUUGAUUGUCGACAAUAUCGUGUGGAGAGACUGCGUCUGAUCUCAGCCUGUAGGACCAGAGGCAUCCGCCCUACAGUGGAGAACUUGCUUGGAAAUGAUUGUGAAGUACUUGAUGCUCUGUUCUUGUAUCUUCGACAGUGUAACCUUCUAGAUAAGCUGUAACCAUACCCGUCUGUGGAUCUCCAAUGUAGCACUUCUGAUUACAGUGUGCACUCAAAAAUACUAGUUUUAGGAAAUCGAAAGUGAUCAUUGUCUGUCAUUAUCUUUCCGGACCGGAUAGUGAUCGAUCGCAAAGUUGUUUGGUCGUCGUCUGUCUGUGUGUUUGUGUAUUCAUAGUCCUGUCAAAACUGUCUUGUUCACAUCUGCGUACUUAUGUCUUUAAGCGCUCAAUUCCUCUGUGAGACACGGUGCUCUUGCGCACCUGUCUCUAGUCCUUACUACAUCUCAACCUUAUUAUUUACUUACUUAUUUUUUGUUGGUUUCUGUUAAGUUGUAACUAGAAAUACUGUAGCGUUUGUUUUUCCCAUUUUUUGUUUAGCCUUAGAGGCCGCUUAUUCCCGCACUUAGUAAGUAGCUCGAAUGUAGACGCUAGCAUUUCGUAGUUUACCCUCCCGUUGCAAAUCCCACCUCGCAAUAUCUCUAUCCUGUUUACUCUAUACUAUUACGUGAUAUACCUUGCUUAGUACCGCUUAGUACCCCUCUUUCACGGAAAAGGGAAGUGGCAAAGUUAAAUGCUAUCAACAUCUACAAAAAACGGAAGAGACUAAAGUUUAACGCUACCAACAAGACCGAGGUGCCUAAAGUUUAACGCUACCAACAAGACCGAGUUACAAGACCAAGAACAAGACGAUCAGUGAAGUUGGACGCCUGGGUCUCGAGGCUGCGCGUCCUAACCCAGCAAGCAAGCAAGCAAAUAUUAAAAGGAUGACAAUGGCUGCUGAGUUAUUGCCACAGACAGUGGAUUCCAUCAAACCAUUGGAGAUUCUGUGUGCUGAGAAGCCAGCGUUUGUGUGUGCUCCAAUGGUUCGCUAUUCCAAGCUCGCAUUCCGCAAUCUUGUCAGGAUUUACGGCUGUGAUAUUGCAUUUUCACCGAUGAUCAUGUCAGAUUCAUUCGUUAAAUCUCAAAAAGCAAGAGACAGCGAAUUUACGACGAACGCAG